GCGAACCUCCGACUCGGCUAAGUGCGGCUUGGCGGCUCGACAUCCGAAUAGUAUACCGAUUCCUAGGUUUUCGACCCUUCCGAAGCCAUUUCCGCCCUCGUUUCAACCAUUUGAGGAGGUAGUUAGGCGCUGGAGUUAGCGUUGUGGGCGGCUUCGGUCAAGGCCAAGGAGGAAAGGGCAAGGCUCCCAUGUACGGGUGACGGUGGAUGAGGCGAAGGGCCAUGGAAAUCUUGAGGAGGGUUUGUUGGGUCGUAGCGCCUGUUGGAUUCUCUUGGGUUCUUAGUUUUGCGAAUUGUUUUUUUUAGUCUCUGUUGAUUACUUCUAGGCUAGGUUGUCGCAAUUGUUUUCCUAGGUAUGAACUGCUUAAAUUGAUGAAUGCAUUUUUGUUAUGGAGACUGUUCCAUGUGAA